AUUGAACGCUGGCGGCAUGCCUUACACAUGCAAGUCGAACGGCAGCACGGGAGCAAUCCUGGUGGCGAGUGGCGAACGGGUGAGUAAAGCAUCGGAACGUGCCCAGUCGUGGGGGAUAACGUAGCGAAAGCUACGCUAAUACCGCAUACGAUCUGUGGAUGAAAGCGGGGGACCGUAAGGCCUCGCGCGAUUGGAGCGGCCGAUGUCAGAUUAGGUAGUUGGUGAGGGACAGGCUCACCAAGCCGACGAUCUGUAGCUGGUCUGAGAGGACGGCCAGCCACACUGGGACUGAGACACGGCCCAGACUCCUACGGGAGGCAGCAGUGGGGAAUUUUGGACAAUGGGCGCAAGCCUGAUCCAGCAAUGCCGCGUGCAGGAUGAAGGCCUUCGGGUUGUAAGCUGCUUUUGUACGGAGCGAAACGGCUUCCACUAAUACUGGGGGCUAAUGACGGUACCGUAAGAAUAAGCACCGGCUAACUACGUGCCAGCCGCCGCCGUAAUAC
rnacentral:rRNA from 1 species